GGGGGUGUAGCUCAACCGGUAGAGCGUGCGCUUUGCAUGCGCAAGGCAGGGGGAUUGAAGCCCUCCACCUCCA